rnacentral:rRNA from 1 species
CCUACGGGAGGCAGCAGUGAGGAAUAUUGGUCAAUGGGCGAGAGCCUGAACCAGCCAAGUCGCGUGAGUGAGUACUGCCCUAUGGGUUGUAAACCUCUUUUGUCGGGGAGCAAAAGCCGGACGUGUCCGGCUGUGAGAGUACCCGACGACAAAGCAUCGGCUACCUCCGUGCCAGCAGCCGCGGUAAUACGGGGGAGGCGAGCGUGAUCCGGAUUUAGUGGGUUUAAAGGGUGCGCAGGCGGAAUUUUAAGUCAGCGGUCAAAGCGUGGGGCUCAACCCCAUCCAGCCGUUGAAACUGGGGAUCUAGAGUGUGUGAGAGGUAUGCGGAAUGCGUGGUGUAGCGGUGAAAUGCAUAGAUAUCACGCAGAACCCCGAUGGCGAAGGCAGCAUACCGGUGCACAACUGACGCUCAGGCACGAAAGCGUGGGUAUCGAACAGGAUUAGAUACCCCAGUAGUC